CCGCGCGCGGGAAGAGGCGCGCGCCCCCCGGUCCCCUGUGCCGCUCCCCGGGGCUCGCGGCCGCUCCCGCCGACGGGCGCUGCCUGACGGGAGGGCGCUGACAGGAGGCUCGUGGCCGGCGGUCCUUUCUGUGCUGCUCUUGAAGCCGUGAGCAGCAGCAGCCGCCAUCCAUCCCCUCCUGCGAUGCCUGGGGCCAGCUCCCACAGCUCCUGCCCAUGCAUUGGGUGGAGCAGGAGCGGAACAGGAAUGGAGCAGGAGCAGAGCAGACAGUGCUUUCUCCAUACGUGAAGCUGAUUUAUGCUAGCAUUGACAAUAAGAAGUAGGAAGAAAACCAACAUUUUCAUCAUGUUUAGUUUACCCGGUUUGUGAUGCUAUUACGAAGACAGUUGAAAGCUUGAAAGAAUCACCCUCGGAUUCCCCAUAGUUAAUUGGAUUUUAGUAGGGAAUGGCAGAGGUACUCUCUGGCAGCUUAGGAGCUCAGUGAAAAAAGAUUUGAAGCUCUGAAGAAAAUUUCACCUUCUGGUUUGUGCUUUGUGUCAGCCUUAGCACAGACUUGACAAUCAUCUGUAUUUGUGUCUCAGUAUAGCAUAUUCCAUAAGACAGACUGGAGUUAAUGCAUGAUAGUGAGUCAGUAUUAGCCUUUAAAGGCAUGUUUUAACAUAUGUUUAUGUCAGCAUACAUGCAUAUGUACUAAGAAAUACCUGUUUCACAUUCAGAAAUGACAAAACAUAUCAUUUUCUAUUUUCAUACUUAGAAAACCCCAAUAUUUGAAACCAAUAACUUCAGACAGCUGCACAGAUGAAAUAGCUAUUAGAUAAACAAAGAUGAUGCUUCUAAAAUGCACAAGAAACUCCACCCACUCAAACUUUACAAAUUAGCAUGUAAGUUACGAGUCUCAAAGAUCCCAUAAAACCUUCCUCUUCAUUUCUAUGAAAGACUUGUUCAACAUGCUCAAAACCUGAACAAAAACUUUUAACAGAGAUCUUGUGUAUCUUCAUUUAAUACAUAUUAAUAAAUAUUACAUAUGUUAGACAUAUUAACAAGUCUACACUUCUAAAUUUUUCAGAUUCUAUGCUUUGGGGAAAUUAUUUUGUCUUCACACUGCUGAGGACACUGAAAGACUUAUCCAUCAAAUAAAAAACUCGUGACUUCUACUUGGUACAGUAUGAAUUUGUUCUGGAUGUGACACAAUUCAGCACCUCUGGAGCAACACUGGGUGAAUGGUCUAGAUUACUGGCAAAGGUAUAUAAAGAAAUGUGAAUUAUUUGCCAAGAGAAACUGGAGAAUUAGCUAUUUUUCAAUUAUUCAACUUUCAAGAGUGUAAGGCUCUGUCAUCAAUAAACCCAAAUUAAGCUAAAAAAGGCAAUAUUAUCACUUAUAAGAAAAGCUAUGCAAUUGCUGGGUGGAACUUGUUUUAAAAUGGAGAUUACCUUGAAGUAACCUCUGUUCCUUUUACAAGAUCGCAUUUCCAGCCAUGGCAGCUACUAUUGGUCACAAGGAAAGCAAGCACUAGAACAGUAGACAAGGCUUUGAAACCCUGCAUGACUAGUUACACAGUAAGAACACCGGUGGGAAAAGCACCAUAGUUUGAAGAGGCUAUUUUCAUUUUACGUGACUUAUGUAACAAUAGCUGGCUAUUCAUAUGGAAAAUUCACAUAAUUAUAUACCAUGUUAACUGAGAAAUACAACCUACAGAUGCUUUGUGCUUCUAUCCCUUUUUCGCCUGAAGGAAAUUCAUGGUGAUACAUCCUUCAAAUUCCCACUCUAAAGUUAGAACUUAGCACUGUAAAAUCUCACACAGUUUUUACACCAGAGAUUCUAAAGCAAACUGGAGCCCUGGAGCUGAGCAGCAAAGAAAUAUCUUGAAGUUGGGGCUUCAGAGUCAAACUUUACUCAUAGCUCUUAGCUACAUUCCGUUAGCUAAGAGCUACAUAGCUCUUAGCUACAUUCAACUGUUCAACUGUCUCAAAUUCUGGCGAAGUUCAAACCAAAGCAUUGGCUUAUCACCAAUUCGUACUUUAAAAAUAACAUUUAGUAAAAUCAGUGAAGAUCUUUCCUUUGACUUCAAUGAAUUUUGAGCCAAACCCAUAAUCCAUCAAUCUCCAGCCUUCCUACUAAUCACAAAAUGACCUGCAGGAAUACAUUUUUGCAAUACAGCACCUCUGUUUAACAGAAGACUGGAAUGGCUCCACAAAGUUCACUUCAGAGAAGAUACAAGUUCUUACCUCUUUCCAUCCUCUUAUGUUAGAAGAGAAAAACUUGUUGAGGUCAUGUCCCUCAGAGCUAUGACAUGCACAAACCAACAAUAUACCUGUUUCUGGUAUUGUAAACACCUUGAAUGUUAGACUACGAGAGAGACUGAGGAAUGGAAAAGGGUACAAAAACUUCCAUUGGCCUGAAAUACAGGCAGAAAUACAUUUUUGAAGAAUGAGCUAUGAAAGUUAGUGUCUACUUAUCAUAGAAAAGUCUUAAAUUUAUGCAUUUAACAGGAUUUUUUUUUUUUUAAAAAAAGGGUUCCCUUUCAUGUCUGGUUUUAUUUUCGGAAUCUGCAGAAAGCUGGACUCAGCAAUCAAGCAAUACAAGUGGACUGAGUUUCUGAUGUCAAAUAGCCCAUGUCAGUACUGAAUCACCUUUAUAAAACAAAACCACUACCAAAAGAGUCAUGUUCCAUGUCACAAACAAAAAGCCGAAGCAAACCCUUGGAUAAAACUGAGCUUUGUUUUGUCAUGUUUGAUGCCAGACUUCUCUUGCUUGGAGUUUCAGUUUAACCUUAUAAACAUACCAGCAUGGAAAUAGUUCCAAGUCAUUACUGGAAAAUGGGGACCUACAUCUUUAAAUUAUUCUAUUGGCAAAGAUACCAAAUGCUUUCCUACACCUCAUAUGAGUAUAUACCAACACUCAAUUAUACAACAACAGACAGGCAAUGUAACUUGUUUUGGAGAAUUUUGUUCCUGAUGAGCUGUCUCUUACAAAUCUUGCUUCAGGGCUGUAGAAACAAUGCUGUGUUAACAUUACAUUACUUGACCAGUUACUUUACUUUUCACCUGUUUCUUCCUGGAGUUACAGUGACAGGUUCACAAAAUUGCCUGAUUCUAGAGAGGCAAACAAAGAAAUAAAUCCUGUCUUCUUUCCCUCAUCCUGAAAUAUCUCAGUCUGCUAAUCAUUCAAAAGAAGGCACAUAUAUC